rnacentral:rRNA from 1 species
GCUUACGGACAUACCACCCUGAGAACGCCCGAUCUCGUCUGAUCUCGGAAGCUAAGCAGGGUCGGGCUUGGUUAGUACUUGGAUGGGAGACCGCCUGGGAAUACCAGGUGCUGUAAGCU